AACGAACGCUGGCGGCAGGCUUAACACAUGCAAGUCGAACGCCCCGCAAGGGGAGUGGCAGACGGGUGAGUAACGCGUGGGAAUCUACCUAGCUCUACGGAACAACUGAGGGAAACUUCAGCUCAUACCGUAUACGCCCUACGGGGGAAAGAUUUAUCGGAAUUAGAUGAGCCCGCGUAAGCUUCGCUAGUUGGUGGGGUAAUGGCAUACCAGGGCGACUAACCUUAGCUGGUCUGAGAGGAUGAUCAGCCACACUGGGACUGGGACACGGCCCAGAGUCCUACGGGAGGCAGCAGUGGAGAGUAUUGCACCAUGGGCGCGAGCCUGAUCCAGCCAUGCCGCGUGAGUGAUGAAGGCCUGAGGGUUGUAAAGCUCUGUCAGUGGUGAAGAUAAUGACGGUACCCACAGAAGAAGCCCCGGCUAACUCCGUGCCAGCAGCCGCAGUAACAC
rnacentral:rRNA from 1 species